rnacentral:lncRNA from 1 species
CCAGAUGUGAGAAUUUACAUGCCUGACAAAACCAAAACUAUUUUUCUAUGCUAAAAACAACAUUGUUAUGAAUAGUAAAUAUUUUUGUUUUGAUAGAAUGUUUUGAAAGUCUGUAAAAUCAUUGAGUGUACCAGUAUGGAGUGGCUAUGAUUAAUUGAAAUGAUCAGAUUCUGUCUGAACUAUCAGAGAUACAGAUUGAAAUCCAAACAUUCUCAUAGACUUUCUGGAUAUAGAGCUGUGUCAGAGAGAUCUGGAAAAACAUUUCAAAUUUACAGAUUACUGAUCAAUGGGUUCAACUGAAUAAAAUUGAGAAUAGAAAAAGGGAAUAUGUCAGAGAAAACAACCCGAUCAAAGAGCAGAUAACAGUCGAAGGUCACCAAUGGGUCUUCAACACAGCCAGAAAAUCCUGCACCCAGAAGAUGGGUCUCAGCUGGCUCCUAAAUAAAAAUAAAACUAGAUUUAAACUUUGUACCUUGUAUACGCCAACCUGGUGACACUAACCAAAAGGUACAUAAAGCUGUAAAAUGACCCAAACAGAAUAAAUGAUAAUUUUGUUUGUGUUAUUAUAAUCAGUACUUUAAAUUAGAAAAUGAUAAACUUUUAUAAACUGUUCACAAGGAUUUCAUUAAAACCAAGAGUAUUUAUGUAGACACAAUGGUAUAGAUUUCUAGCCUUCAUACCUAUCAGAUUCCCUGGAGCCUACCUAGAAAACACUUCAUAUUUAAGUACUUCUGCAUCCCUUGCUCUUUGUGUGUUACUCAAGUUACUAUCAAAUAGAUAAAAAAUAUCACAUCGUUUGAUGAUUAAAAUGAUUUGGGAAUCCUGCUGAUGAUGAAAAUCAAAUAAAUAAAGACUUUUUUCAUCUUGUUCAUAGCAGGACAGUCCUCUUAAAUUUAUCUUAUCACUUGUUUGAAACAUCACAAAGUUAAUCCAUUCAUAAAACAUAAAUUCACAUCAGCAUGGUACAACAGUUCAAACUACUUCAAUCACAUCUAAAACUUUACUCAAUAGGAAAAUAUUUCAUUCAUAACCUUCUUACAGCUAAAGAUUGCUAUCAAACUGAUAUUGUCUUGCAUGCAUAUAUAAGUACACUUCAGUUGAUUGACAAUUUAUCUACAGUAUAUUUUGACAAACUCUGUGUCCAGCUCCAAUGUUUUCGGCCUUGUGAACAUUUUUUUAAAUCAUUUUGUACUUGCAUCCCACAUCUCACAUCUGUUUUUAUGUGGCGGCAAACAUUACCACAAAAUGUAUUUACAUCAGGGUUUUUUUAAGCAGCAGACUGCUAGAAAAAUCAAAGUUUGCAGGAAAAAAAGUCGGAUUUCAUAAAAACUAGAACUCAAAAGGUUGUGGGAAGAAAAUCAGGAUAGACAUUUUUCCCUAACUUACAAGUGCACUAAAGUAAGGACAUUUAGGUGAUAUAAAACAUUUAAAACAUACGUAAAUACUAACCACUAUACUUAAUAUUACAUAAUAAGUUAAGUAUUAAAUUAAUGAUGUGUGUAAGCUGCCUUUAAAACACUAUAAUGAAGGAUGUUUCAAUGAUAUGAUAAAUAGAGUCCUCAAAUCUUUUGUGAACAAUACUAAAAUUGUCAACAGCAAUGCAUAAUAUUCUUCUAAAUCAAAUGUUAAUGACAUCAAUUACAUUUUUAAUGUAAGGAAAACCAUGUUUUUUAAAAUAUAAAUUUUCAAUAUGAGGAAAAAAUUCAUAUUCACUUAAUAGUUGUCACCAAGUCUAAAUAUUUGAAAACAAACAAAAAAGUUGCACCUUCUUCAAUGUUCAUGCAUGUCUAUUCCAAAAAAAUCUUUUCGUUUUCAAAAUUUAUUUUCAUCACAACUGAGAUAAUAUUACUGUUUCAAGAAUUACUGUUCAUAAAAUUCUUUGUUUUUGUUCUGUUUCACAGCCAAAUCUUUAACUUCACUACAAGGCCAUUUGCAAAAGGUUCAGAUAUAAUGCUAAUUUACUAACAAACAUUCUUUGUAGGACUUUUUACCCAGAAAGUUAAACUUAAUAACUUAUUUCAGAUAGCAUUAUACAACAUUUUGAAUACUUGUAAAUGGCUUACAGAUCAGUAUCUAAUGAUAUAUCUUAUUUAAACUUUAGUAAAUAUUAUUA